rnacentral:misc_RNA from 1 species
GCAAAAUUUAACAUCUUGAUGUGCAUACAAAGCAGACCAGUUUUUCUACAGUUAUUUUUCUUCAUAAGUUCUUUAUAUUUCCAGGAAGGCCCUCCAGACUGUCCUGGCUUGGUCUCCAGGGUCUCUACUCUGCUGCUUGAACAUGUUGGGAACCAUCAUUCUGGUUCAGCUUUUCCAGUGCCGAAAUUCUACUUUCCAUAGAAUCAUGCAGCCCUCCCAUCUUUUGCGAAAUGGAGUCGUAAGCAAUCUUGUAAUCUCUCUGAAGAAGGUAAAGCCCCAGAGACGAUGCAACCGCCGAUCCGGCGAAGUAGGAAGCCAAUCGCACUCUCAGGACAUAACCCAUCUCUUCCACCUAUGCCCUUCGGCCUUCUGCUUCGCUUCUGUCCCCUACCUUCUUUU